UACAGAGGGUGCGAGCGUUAAUCGGAAUUACUGGGCGUAAAGCGCGCGUAGGCGGCUUUGCAAGUCGGGUGUGAAAUCCCCAGGCUUAACCUGGGAACUGCAUUCGAGACUGCAUUGCUAGAGUAUGGGAGAGGGAAGUGGAAUUUCCGGUGUAGCGGUGAAAUGCGUAGAUAUCGGAAGGAACACCGGUGGCGAAGGCGGAUCUCUGGGGCCAUUACUGACGCUGAGGAGCGAAAGCGUGGGGAGCGAACAGG
rnacentral:rRNA from 1 species